rnacentral:rRNA from 1 species
AUUGAACGCUGGCGGCAUGCCUUACACAUGCAAGUCGAACGGCAGCGCGGGGCAACCUGGCGGCGAGUGGCGAACGGGUGAGUAACAUAUCGGAACAUACCCUAGAGUGGGGGAUAACGUAGCGAAAGUUACGCUAAUACCGCAUACGCACUAAGGUGGAAAGUGGGGGAUUCGCAAGAACCUCAUGCUCAUGGAGUGGCCGAUAUCUGAUUAGCUAGUUGGUGAGGUAAAGGCUCACCAAGGCGACGAUCAGUAGCUGGUUUGAGAGAACGACCAGCCACACUGGAACUGAGACACGGUCCAGACUCCUACGGGAGGCAGCAGUGGGGAAUUUUGGACAAUGGGGGCAACCCUGAUCCAGCAAUGCCGCGUGAGUGAAGAAGGCCUU